rnacentral:pre_miRNA from 13 species
UCCAGCCCCACCAGGGCCUCCCUGAUGCCCUUCAUUCCACCGGAAUCCGUCGCUGCAGAAACCAGAUUUCAGUGAAAUGAAGCCCCUCAGAGAGGCAGGUCA